ensembl:lncRNA
GCAAAGUAGUGCAGCAGCAGUAGCAGCAAGGCUUCUGUCCCUUGUAUUUCCUCCAGAGCAGUACUGGGGACUGAAGCUUGGCUCCUAUAUUUUUUGCGAUGGAUGUCUCACUGCGGGUAGAAGUUGCUCAGGUUGGGCCCAAACUUGCGGUCGUCCUGCCUCAGCCUCCCAGGGUUAGGUUAGUAAAAGCCACAUUGCCAUUGGUGUUAACCCCACUCAAAAUAUUCCCGCACUGAAUGAGAGUGGACUUUUCUCCAAGCGUCAGUGAUGAGGUGUCCUCUGGGAAGUAGUGUGAGCCACGAGCAUACAAACCCCUCCUGCAGCCCAGCCCCGAGACCUGGGGGAGGCAGCUUCUCCUCCCCACUCUUCCCCUCGGCUGAAGGAAGAGCCAACUUGCAUCCCUCAGGACCAGGUGGAUGGGCUCCUGGACCCCCAGCUCCUUAAGUCAUCUCCUAUCAUGCAGGCUGCUGCCUGCAUGGUCACUGCACUGCCCGGCAUGGGACAGCGACGAGAAGGACGACCUGUAUGUGCUCGGCACAGAGGCCAUCUUCUCCUUGCAAGUACCCCUCACCCAUUGUUCACUGCAUGUGGGGUGGGAGCCUGCGGCAGGAAGGGGCUGGCUCUCGCUCAUUUCGAGUUCAUCACAGCAAGGGCUCCCUGGUUUUGCUAAGGACCCACUUCUUGCAGAAAUAGCAACUCAUGUGGUGCUGGAGGCCUUGGUUUGAAUCCUGGCCUUUGAUUAAGGCUCUCCUGCUGCUCACUCUCCAAACCCCAUUCAUUCACCUCCAGUAAGAGAAUUGAUUAUAAGAGCACCUGCCUCAAAGCGUUUCGAAGGUGAAAUCAAAGGAUACGCACGAAACUUCUCUGUCUGGCACAUCAGAAAGACGUAACACACAAUUCAUCAUCGUGAUAAUAACAAUAACAACGUCGUAAAGACCGCAAAGCACUUUCCUUUGAGGUUAAGCCAUGGGCACUCAGUUCCCUUGGAACUAAGAGGUGGCACUGAGACGAACAGGAGCCCGGGUGGGAAACACACUGCCCUCCCGCUCAGCGCACUCCUGUCCUCUCCUGCUGGGCUCCUGCCCAUCGCUGGGCACUGAGGAAAGGCCUGCAGGUCUGCUCCUGACCAGGAGACACUGAGACAUGGCCACCUCUAAGGUGAUGAUCACGCUGUGUCUGCAGAAGAGAAUUGCACUCUAAGCUGUAAUGCAGAAGAACCCUAAUGAGAUUGUAACAAACCCAGCAGGCCCUGCUUUUUCCAGCUAGAAAUGUGGUUUCUGGAACCAGUGCAGAACAGAACAAGGUAAAAUAUCCCUUCCCCACUACGGUCUCAGAGUCUGUCCUGCGCUGAGUGGACUCCUGAGGGAAUUUUACGUUAUUCAUUGCUGAGGGUGGAGGCCAACAUCUUGCACGUGCUGAGCUCAUGCUGCACCCCGGAGCUGCACCCCCAGCCCAUGGGAACUUCUUUCUGCCCUGCCACCACGGUGAGCCUGCGGCACGUUUUCCCCAACUAUUGCCACCCUCCCCUUCAGCUGGCAUUAUAGUUUGUAAGACUGGCUUAGCCGAGAAGUGAAGCCCAGGGCUAAGUCCUGUAUUCCAAAAAAUUCCUUUAUCAAUGGACGCAAGAUGAUUUAGAGAGAAACACUGUUUUGAUAAAGCAUGGCUCUCACCUAAACUGUUUUUAUCCAGUUAAAGAAAGAACAUGGAAAACAGCAUGAUAAGAAUGGCC